rnacentral:rRNA from 1 species
AUGGAUUAAGAGCUUGCUCUUAUGAAGUUAGCGGCGGACGGGUGAGUAACACGUGGGUAACCUGCCCAUAAGACUGGGAUAACUCCGGGAAACCGGGGCUAAUACCGGAUAACAUUUUGAACCGCAUGGUUCGAAAUUGAAAGGCGGCUUCGGCUGUCACUUAUGGAUGGACCCGCGUCGCAUUAGCUAGUUGGUGAGGUAACGGCUCACCAAGGCAACGAUGCGUAGCCGACCUGAGAGGGUGAUCGGCCACACUGGGACUGAGACACGGCCCAGACUCCUACGGGAGGCAGCAGUAGGGAAUCUUCCGCAAUGGACGAAAGUCUGACGGAGCAACGCCGCGUGAGUGAUGAAGGCUUUCGGGUCGUAAAACUCUGUUGUUAGGGAAGAACAAGUGCUAGUUGAAUAAGCUGGCACCUUGACGGUACCUAACCAGAAAGCCACGGCUAACUACGUGCCAGCAGCCGCGGUAAUACGUAGGUGGCAAGCGUUAUCCGGAAUUAUUGGGCGUAAAGCGCGCGCAGGUGGUUUCUUAAGUCUGAUGUGAAAGCCCACGGCUCAACCGUGGAGGGUCAUUGGAAACUGGGAGACUUGAGUGCAGAAGAGGAAAGUGGAAUUCCAUGUGUAGCGGUGAAAUGCGUAGAGAUAUGGAGGAACACCAGUGGCGAAGGCGACUUUCUGGUCUGUAACUGACACUGAGGCGCGAAAGCGUGGGGGAGCAAACAGGAUUAGAUACCCUGGUAGUCCACGCCGUAAACAUG